GAUGAAUGCUGGCGGCGUGCCUAAUACAUGCAAGUCGAGCGAACGGACGAGAAGCUUGCUUCUCUGAUGUUAGCGGCGGACGGGUGAGUAACACGUGGAUAACCUACCUAUAAGACUGGGAUAACUUCGGGAAACCGGAGCUAAUACCGGAUAAUAUUUUGAACCGCAUGGUUCAAAAGUGAAAGACGGUCUUGCUGUCACUUAUAGAUGGAUCCGCGCUGCAUUAGCUAGUUGGUAAGGUAACGGCUUACCAAGGCAACGAUGCAUAGCCGACCUGAGAGGGUGAUCGGCCACACUGGAACUGAGACACGGUCCAGACUCCGACGGGAGGCAGCAGUAGGGAAUCUUCCGCAAUGGGCGAAAGCCUGACGGAGCAACGCCGCGUGAGUGAUGAAGGUCUUCGGAUCGUAAAACUCUGUUAUUAGGGAAGAACAUAUGUGUAAGUAACUGUGCACAUCUUGACGGUACCUAAUCAGAAAGCCACGGCUAACUACGUG
rnacentral:rRNA from 1 species